UACGUAGGGGGGCUAGCGUUGUCCGGAAUCAUUGGGCGUAAAGAGCGUGUAGGCGGUCCGGUAAGUCCGCUGUGAAAGUCGGGGGCUCAACCCUCGAAUGCCGGUGGAUACUGUCGGGCUAGAGUGCGGAAGAGGCGAGUGGAAUUCCUGGUGUAGCGGUGAAAUGCGCAGAUAUCAGGAGGAACACCUAUUGCGAAGGCAGCUCGCUGGGACGUAACUGACGCUGAGACGCGAAAGCGUGGGGGAGCAAACAGG
rnacentral:rRNA from 1 species